GGUAAAUUAGUAAAUAAUGUAAUUUUACAUUAUAAUGAGAAUUAAAGUAUUAGUAAUUUAUUUUUGUUACUAAAAUUAAAUUCAGUUUGUUCCUGUAUAAAUCUUUUUAGUACUAAACUGCUUUGGAAUGAAUUUUUCUGGGGGACAACAGCAGGAUUAGAGCCAUCCUCUAGAUGCCAUCAGGUAGGUGCGCUAGCGUAGUCGUUUGUUGUAGCAUUAUAUCCCUUUCCCCCUUUUUAAAAAAUGUUUGUAAGACGCCUGAAAUUUGUAUAAGUUAGUUAUAUAAGUAGUUGAAUAAGAAUUGGUGAGACAUGGAAAAUAGAAGAGGACAGAGAAGAUGGAAGAGGAUUGCUUUGAAAUAGAACUAAAGGAGAUAGAAGAUGUUUGAGGAAAGGAGGAGGAUUUUGUUCCCUGUAACGGAAGUUUUUUGAAUGAAAUUUGGAGCAACUGUAUUAAGAUGUUAUUGGUAUCUUGGACGUCAAGUUUCAUUUAUUUAUGUAUUAUACAAGCAUAUCUAUUGGUGGAAAUGUAGAAUGGCAGCUGUUAUAACAACUUGGAUGGAUUAUUAGAAACACCAAAGAAGUUUUGGCAUAAUUUAAACUGGGAAAAGGCUCACAGAUGACCAAUUUAUUCUACAGUAGAUACAGGACAUUAAAUUGACUUCACCAACGCAGAUAUCUCUCAAAAAUGAUAUCUGUUCGAGUGAUGUACUGGGCGUUAACAGUUGCUGUUACAAAUCUGCAAAUGAGUUACUACUGUACAUAAGUUGGAGGAAUGCCAAGGAAUUUUUUGAAUAAAAUGAUACUGAAAAUCUUACCCACCAAUGACAAUUUUAAGAUACAAUCAAUAGUAUUUGGAUUGAUUGGCCUUCAUUACUGUUGCGCUAUGAAAAUGUAAGCAACACAAAUUGGUAUUAAUGGACGUUUUGACAGCUGUUUCCAGUCCAAGUUCCAGUUUUAAAGGAAAAAAUUUAAUGGACACAGAAAAAUGCCAUUUACUGGAUUGACUUCAACACCUGUUGCCUUUUAAUAAUGGUAUACAAUGGGACAAUCGCUGUUAGAAGUCAACAAGUAGUACUAAUUGCAAAUAAUAUAUUAUGGCGGACAUCAAAAAGCUUUAAAUGGAAUGAAACUUGCAGAAAAAGACUCAGAAAGACCAUUUAGGGCGCAGAAAAAGACUCAGAAAGACCAUUUAGAACUGUACUUAACAGCUGUUAGAGUGGAUGCAGUCCUUCAUCAAUGUGAGCUGAAGAAAUUGAUAACGGAUUUUGACAGCUACUGUCACAACUCAACGAACAAGUUGCAGCUUUGAAGGAACAUAUUUGAUUGGAUACAGAACAAUGUCAGUCGUUUCAGGAUGUAAAGUUAAUAGAACCAGGGUUGGGCUCGACAUCUCUUACCGUUUAAUAAUGGCAUACGAUAGGACAAUUGCUAUUAGAAACCGAUAAGCCAAACUAGCUGCAAAUAAUAUGUAUGGUGGUUAUAAAAGAGAUUUAAAUGGAAUGAAACUUGUGCAGAAGAAAUUGGUCUGCUGUUACUUAAUAGCUGUUAGAGCGGAUCCAGUUCUUCAUCAAUGGUAUAAGAUGGGAUAAUUGCUGUUAAAAAUCCACAAGCUGUACCAUCUGCAAAUAUUAUGGUGGACAUCAAAAAGCUUUAAAUGGAAUGAAAUUUGCAGGGAAAGACUCAGAAAGACCAUUGAGGACUGUACUUAAUAGCUGUUAGUGUGGUCGCAGUCCUUCAUCACUGAUAUCUCUGCAUUUUCUUAACAAUGGAUAUCCCAACAGUUGCUCCUACUCUUCGCUUUCCUCUUUCACUCAACAUAAAGCAGACUCAAUACUCCUCAAUGCCUCACCAAGGUUCGUUAGCUUCAUUAAUAGUGUUAUUGUUUCAAUAAAUUUGUUUACUGGUUUUUAUCCUCUUCUUAACUAUUUAAGUAUAUCAGGCGUCAUAUUAGUGUUAUUGAUUUUUUGUAAAAUUUUGAUAAUCUGGA